UAAUACGAACCGUCCAAACGUUAUUCGGAUUCAUUGGGCUUAAAGGGUACGUAGGCGGCCCUGUCAGUCGGGUGUGAAAUCCCUCGGCUCAACCGAGGAACUGCGCCCGAUACUGCAGGGCUUGAGGGAGACAGAGGUAAGCGGAACUGAUGGUGGAGCGGUGAAAUGCGUUGAUAUCAUCAGGAACACCGGUGGCGAAAGCGGCUUACUGGGUCUCUUCUGACGCUGAGGUACGAAAGCUAGGGGAGCGAACGGGAUUAGAUACCCCGGUAGUCCUAGCUGUAAACGAUGAGCACUUGAUCGUGGGGCCCCCCAUAGCCUCUCGGUCGAAGCGAAAGUGAUAAGUGCUCCGCCUGGGGAGUAUGGUCGCAAGGCUG
rnacentral:rRNA from 1 species